GUCGAACGAUGAACCACUUCGGUGGGGAUUAGUGGCGAACGGGUGAGUAACACGUGGGCAAUCUGCCCUGCACUCUGGGACAAGCCCUGGAAACGGGGUCUAAUACCGGAUAUUGACCUUCACGGGCAUCUGUGAGGUUCGAAAGCUCCGGCGGUGCAGGAUGAGCCCGCGGCCUAUCAGCUUGUUGGUGAGGUAAUGGCUCACCAAGGCGACGACGGGUAGCCGGCCUGAGAGGGCGACCGGCCACACUGGGACUGAGACACGGCCCAGACUCCUACGGGAGGCAGCAGUGGGGAAUAUUGCACAAUGGGCGAAAGCCUGAUGCAGCGACGCCGCGUGAGGGAUGACGGCCUUCGGGUUGUAAACCUCUUUCAGCAGGGAAGAAGCGAAAGUGACGGUACCUGCAGAAGAAGCGCCGGCUAACUACGUGCCAGCAGCCGCGGUAAUACGUAGGGCGCAAGCGUUGUCCGGAAUUAUUGGGCGUAAAGAGCUCGUAGGCGGCUUGUCACGUCGGUUGUGAAAGCCCGGGGCUUAACCCCGGGUCUGCAGUCGAUACGGGCAGGCUAGAGUUCGGUAGGGGAGAUCGGAAUUCCUGGUGUAGCGGUGAAAUGCGCAGAUAUCAGGAGGAACACCGGUGGCGAAGGCGGAUCUCUGGGCCGAUACUGACGCUGAGGAGCGAAAGCGUGGGGAGC
rnacentral:rRNA from 1 species